GCCUUCAUUGACAAUUUUUUCUCUUAUUAUCUGCAAAAGUGGACAAACACAUUGAUUCAGUACCAUGGUUAGUACUUGGAUGGGAGACUGCCUGGAAAUACUGGGUGCUGUAGGCU
rnacentral:rRNA from 1 species